AUUGCUUCUCAACCUUUUGGCUAAGAUCAAGUGUAGUAUCUGUUCUUAAGUAUAUUAAUUCUUUUGACUCACUAACAUGAUAUAUCAUUUAAUUCAUUUGUGUCUCCUC
rnacentral:snRNA from 1 species